CUCAAAUUCAUUACGGAUUUUGCAUGAUCAAGAUCUGGUCAGAUCUGACUUUGUCGAAUUAAACCAGGAGCUUGGAAACUAAUUUUUGAAUGAAACCAACUGGAUGCGAACAAUUCCGGAGAAGAAGAAGUGGAAUCGGACGAGGAUUUUAUUUAUAUUGUUGGGAUUCUUAUAUUUAUGGAGUUGAAGAAGUCCGGGGACAAAUAAGCCAAGGCAAGCCAUCUUUUGAUCUCUGAUUUGGUGUCUAGUUGUAUGUCAUUUGUUGAUGUCCAAAGCACCUUAAUUCUAUGUGUGUUACUCUCUCUAUUUAUGUCAUCUAUGUGUGAUUUCAAGUGGGGAACUCCCUAGUGGUGAUACUCCACUAUUGUCUUUGUGAUUAUGGGAUGCAUGGUAUCAUGGCCGUGCUAUUUCACUUGGUUAUCUUGUAUGCUCAACUUGAGCAUGUUCCAUCUCAAGAUAGUAACUUACACCACAUCCACCCUCUUUGUAGUAUAGAGGUAUCAAUGUCAUGAUCUUGGCGUAUUCUCAACUUGAGAGAAGUAUGCCGUGUACCCAUGGGAAAGUAGGUUGGAUAGUGAUACUCCACUAUCUAACUUGUACACUUAGCACCACCAAUCUGAAAAUGUUUCCUCUUAUGUUGUCAUUAUACAUGCUUACCUUAAGCAAGUAUGAUCCUCUUUACGCCACUCACACAUCCCCUCAUGGGCGUGAUGACCUUCAUCUCGGCCAUGGUGAUUUUUUAGUUCCAUUCAUGAAACUAUAGG